CCCACUCUAGCUGCCAACAUUCCGUGCAAUACACACUAAUGUUAAAACCUGAACAGGUUAGAAAAUCUUUGGACUUUUUGAACUGUCACUGUGAGAAAAGUAUGAAUGCCAUGAAGAUGGUGAAUGAAUGAGUGAAUGUCUGAAGAUGUGUGAAUAUUUUAAAGUUUGAAUGAAGUUUCUAGGUGAAAGUAUGAAUGAAUGAGAAGAGGUUGAAGUUGACUACGUCUGAAGCCCUUUUCCCAUUGACUGCCAUUAUAACGAAGUUUUAAACAAAUCUUAAUAUUUUGAAAAGUACAAAUGGGAUUAAAAAUGUUGAAGAUGUGGAAUAAUGCUGACGAAUUUGUGAAUAUUUUGGUUUUUGAAUGAAGUUUCUACGUGGAAGUAUAGAGGAGCUGAAGGCUUUUGAAGUUUGAAGCCAAUUUGAACAUUCCGUAAUGCAUUUCUAAUGGGAGAAAUCGGUCGGAAAACCUGGAAUAUCUCGGAAAGUAUGAAUGUUAGGAAAUUUUUGAAUACAAGCCGGAAUCUCCUCAACGAGAUGAAUCUUUUGAAGUUUGAAUGGUUUGAAUACGUUGAAGUAUGUGGAAGUAGUUGACUGCCAAAAAACGGCGGAAUAAUAAUAACUAGAAAAUGCAAUUUCUGAAGAAAUUGCGAGUGGGAUUGCUUCAGUUGAAAUUGCUAUCGCUACGCUGCUAUUGCGAAUGGCUGAAUUUUAAAAAUAUGUGAAAGGUCAAAAGGUAUGAAGUAUCAGGAAGAUUUGAAUCAAUUGGAAUAAACUCAAUUGAAUGAAUUGAAUAAUGCAUGAAUAAUAAUUUUGAAAUUUCCACGUUUGAAAAUUAAAAUGAUUAAAAACCCUGAAGUUUGGGAAAGGCUUGAAGAAUCAAUAAGGUUUGAAUCAGUUUAAAUGAGUUGUAAUUUGUUUGAAAGAACUGAAUAAUGCAGUAAGAGUAAAAAAUGAUUUAAAACUGGAAAAUUAAAAGGUUACAAAUCUGGAAGAAAAAGAGGUUUGAAGAAUCAAAAUGGUUUACAUCAGUUUGAAGGAAAUAAAUUAGUUUGAAGAACUAAAUAAUGCAUUUUCAAUGAAUGAUUGAAAAAUGGGGACAAUGUAAAUGAAUAAAAAUCCUGAUUAGACCCCAUAAUGUCCUCAAUGAGCUGAAUUUAUUAAGCCCUGGUUGGUUUCUGUAGCUCAAGGUUUGUGCGAAGAGAUAGAUGACAAAUUUUGUCAAAUAACUCUAUUGAAGGGUUUUAAAUGUAACCCCCAGUACUCUGUGUACUGAGCCUGGCUUCAUGUGUCUCAUAUGGCUGUUAGAAGCAGCUUUCCAGCCAGCUGUGUGUCUCCAGGUGCUCUUAUUGGUUGCCAUGGUGACGAUAGAUGCUUAACAACAGCAGGAGAAAGGAGGCUUGAGGCUGAGAGCGUAAUGCCCAAACAACGUCAUAUUUCUCAUCCUCUGUAACUGCUAUCUUCAUGAUCAGGAGCUUGUGAGAACCACAAGGCCCGGCUGAACACGUUGAUACAACUUCUGUGUUUGUGGAGCCAAAAAUGCCUUCACUACAACAAGUUAAAAACAUGUCCAGUUCAUGUUUCCUCUGAAAAUCCUCCUCUCAGGUUUACAUUGGAGUCAAUGGAGAAAGCUGGAGAAAUCUGGGGGAUGUCUGCGGCAGUUGGUGUCUGCCCAGGCCACUGUGUGUGUCCUAUGGCUUUGAUUUUUUAGAUGAAGAGUGACAGCGAGUUUUGCCAUCACUGUACCAAAUUUUAUCUGUGUAGAGUGAAGUGAGUUGCCACAAUCCUUUUGUAAAGACAAAGUUUUGAGGAUCAAUUUUCAGCCUGUCUCACUCUAGCUGUGAGGUCACCCACUCUAGCGGCCAACAUUCCGUGCAAUACACACUAAUGUUAAAACCUGAACAGGCCAGAAAAUCAUGUGAAUUUUUGAACUGUCACUGUGAGAAAAGUAUGAAUGCCAUGAAGAUGGUGAAUGAAUGAGUGAAUGUCUGAAGAUGUGUGAAUAUUUUAAAGUUUGAAUGAAGUUUCUAGGUGAAAGCAUGAAUGAAUGAGAAGAGGUUGAAGUUGACUACGUCUGAAAGCCUUUUCCCAUUGAAUCCCAUUAUAACGAAGUUUUAAACAGAUCUUAAUAUUUUGAAAAGUACAAAUGGGAUUAAAAAGGUUGAAGAUGUGGAAUAAUGC
rnacentral:lncRNA from 1 species